UCUGCUAUGACGCAUGGGGUCACCCGAU
rnacentral:sRNA from 1 species